AAAGUGGAUUAGCGGCGGACGGGUGAGUAACACGUGAGUAACCUGCCUUAGACAUUGGGAUAGCCUCGGGAAACCGGGAUUAAUACCAAAUAAAAUCAUAAUGACACAUGUCAUAACGAUCAAAACUCCGGUGGUCUAAGAUGGACUCGCGUCCCAUUAGCUAGUUGGUAGAGUAAAAGCCUACCAAGGCGACGAUGGGUAGCCGGCCUGAGAGGGUGAACGGCCACAUUGUAACUGAGAAACGGUCCAA
rnacentral:rRNA from 1 species